rnacentral:misc_RNA from 1 species
AGAUUUCGUUUGUAAGAAUUGGAACCGGAUCUGCUAGGAGGUUUCGAGACUGGGUGGCGUUUCUGGAUCCAUUUCUUACAGACGAAAUC